rnacentral:rRNA from 1 species
AACGAACGCUGGCGGCAGGCCUAACACGUGCAAGUCGAGCGAACCCUUCGGGGUUAGCGGCGGACGGGUUAGUAACGCGUGGGAAUAUACCCUUUGGUACGGAAUAGCCUCGGGAAACUGAGAGUAAUACCGUAUGUGCCCUUCGGGGGAAAGAUUUAUCGCCAAAGGAUUAGCCCGCGUUGGAUUAGAUAGUUGGUGGGGUAAUGGCCUACCAAGUCUACGAUCCAUAGCUGGUUUGAGAGGAUGAUCAGCAACACUGGGACUGAGACACGGCCCAGACUCCUACGGGAGGCAGCAGUGGGGAAUCUUAGACAAUGGGCGCAAGCCUGAUCUAGCCAUGCCGCGUGGACGAUGAAGGCCUUAGGGUUGUAAAGUCCUUUCAGAUGGGAAGAUAAUGACGGUACCAUCAGAAGAAGCCCCCGGCUAACUCCGUG